UUUUACAAACCAGAUAGAUAUUAUGUAUCAUUCACUGGAAACAUCCAUCAUCCAAAAUACAUUAAAUAAAGGCGAAAAUUGCACCAAAACAAAACCCCACUUACAAGACCCUACCAUUACUCGACUUUCCAAUGCCCCAUAAAAAAAAAUACAGCAUAAAGACACUGGGAGAGAGAGACCUAGAGACUCAAUUUCAAUGGCUAUCCACAAGACAGUUUCCACUCUAAAACUCUGCCAUGUUUGGUGGCGCUACCGCCGCCGUGGAUGGCCGAGCAUAAGUUGACUCCUACAUACAUAUUCCAAGAUUUGGCAUUAUUGCACUCCUGCACCUAUUCAGCUUCGUUAUCACCUCUAUGCAUCAGCAUGAUUUCCCUGGAGAUCUGCAAUUGCAAGUCAAGGAAAUAAAUAUAGUCUGGACAUUGUAUAUGAAGUUUUUAAUGGCUUAAUUUUAUGUAACAUAUAUUGCUUGAAUGGAAUGUGGAACUUUCACUAAAUCUUUCCAGGCUCCAGAAACAGACAUUAUAGAAUCAGGAAAUGACUUGACCUGGAAGUUUCUUGAAGCAAAGUAUUCCAUGUUUGUCAUAUUCUCUAAGUCAGAUGAUCGAUUUAUACAUCCAUGUUACUGCAGGCCCCCACCAAAGUUUUCUAUGGCCAAGGGGAUGGUGCCAGAAAUUAAGCAUGUAUCAAGAAUCUUGUCAUUAGCAGUCUUCUUAUUGAGAAAGUAAUCUCAAAUAUCUAUAUAGUGUUGAGGUGUCUGGACUUGAACAAGAAUGUACAAUAAAAGCUAUUCAAUAUACAUUAGAUGUGCCUAAA